UUACGGCCGUAUCAUAUUGAAACAGCGUUUCCCGUAUGAUCACCGAAGUUAAGCAACGUCGAGCCUGGUUAGUACCUAGAUGGGUGAC